rnacentral:sRNA from 1 species
AAAGCAGAUCUUUAGACAUGAUCAUUAUGCACAUUCUACCGCUUUUUAUAAUUUUUGUACUUUUACGAACGGAUCAAUGUCCUCCAACAAGACCACGUUGCCGUGAUCCACCUGAUCAAGGAUAAAAUAAAAAUACGAAUUGGGUCUUGCCGAUCAGUUGUAGUACAUUUCCUACUGUUGAACUCGGUACGAAUUUCUAAUAAAUAUUCCAUUCGUUUCAAA